GAAAAGUUGUAUCCGACGCCAGCGUCAUCUGGGAGCUGGGGGUGGCAUUGGUACGUUGCGUGGAGCCGCAGUCGCCGCCGCGUCUGCGAGUCUCUCUGGCCCAUCUCGCACGUUUCCGUCCUUAGUCCUUGUCUUUCGCCGCGCUCGGCCUCUCACAUCUGGCCGUCGCUCACCCACUUACACGUACAAGAGGAGACGUCGGGCAACAGCCGCCGCAGCAGCGCCACACUGUCAUGACUUUUCGGUUUAGCCGAGCAGCGCGUUAUGGCGCAGCGGCAGCAGGCUUCAUGGGGGCCAGCACGGUUGCCAUUCUCCUGCCGCCAAGGGAGACGAUCCCGCCGGUGCUGCUGCCGUCGCGUGUCCUGUUCGAAGGCAUCGGCCGCGUCGGGCGGUGCGUGUACGCAGGUGGGCAGAUCUACUGCGACUACGCCUUCAACGUGACGCAGGAGGAUGGGCAGGAGCAGUGGAACGAGGUGCACCGGCGGUGCGCGGAGCGGCUGGUCGAUCUGGCAGAGAGAAACGGGGGGCUGUACGUGAAGGCGGGGCAGAUCUUCGCGAACAUGAGCCACAUCCUGCCCUAUCAGUACUGCCAAGUGAUGGCGGUGCUGCAGGAUGCGGUGGUGAAGCGGCCCUACGCGGAAGUUGUAGCCGUGCUGGAGAAGGACUUGGGGCGCCCGCUCGGCGAAGUGUUUUCGUACAUCGACCCGACCCCGCUGGCAGCCGCGUCGCUGGCGCAGGUGCACCGUGGCCGUCUGCGCGACGAGGACGUGGAGGUGGCAGUCAAGGUGCAGUACAUCGACAUUGCGCAGCGGUUCAACGGUGACAUGCGCACCAUCUCCCUCAUGUUUGCCGCAGCCAGCUACUUCUUUCCUGGCUACGACUUUGGCCAGAUCAUCGCGAAGCUGAACGACACCGUCGCGGCCGAGCUCGACUUCCGGAUCGAGGGCCGGAAUAGUGACCGGGCCGCGGCGGAUCUGCGGUCCUGCGGAUGGGGGGAGCGCGUCGUGUGCCCACGCAUCUUCUGGAAUUACGCCAGCAGGCGCGUGCUCGUCUCGCAGUUCAUUCCAGAUGCGGUGAAGGUAUCGGACCGCGCAGGCAUUGCGGCGAUGGGGCUCAACGUGAAGGAGGUGGCAACGACGUUCUUCGAGGUCAUCGCCUUCCAGAUCUUCCGCACCGGCUUCUUCCAUGGAGACCCGCACGCCGGCAACGUCCUCGUGCACAAGCUGCCAGAUGGGAAGCCACAGGUAGUCCUGCUGGACUUUGGCCUGUGUGCGGAGCUCAAUGCGGCUCAACGCCGCGAGAUCAGCGACAUCUGGACGGCCUCCACCACCCACGACACUCCCAAGAUCACCGAGAUUGCGCGCCGUUACGACUGCGACGACUACGAGCUGUUCGCCUCCUGCUUCCUGCAGCACCCGUAUGAGUACUUCGCGAACAGCACCAGCGGCCGGCUCAAUAGCCCGUACGCGCUAGAGAAGAUGCGGGAAACCGUGAAGCAUCGCAUGACGGAUCUGAACGGCAUCGUAGCAGCACUGCCGAAGGAGUAUGCCCUCGUGCUGCGCAGCAUCAUGGCCACCAAGGCCAUCAAUCGUGAGCUCGGCGAGGCGGCGAACCGCCCGAUGUGCAUGCUGCGCUACUCCCUCAAGACCUCUCACGAGGACCUCCCCAAGAUCCAGUUCCUGGUACUGAUGUCCAAGGCGUGGGUUUCAGAGUUGUACGCGUGGCUGUUGCUGCGGUUCACGCUGUGGCGACACCCGGAGCUGUCUGAGGUGUUGGAGAGCUCGCUGCAGCUGAGCGGCUAGCAAAUCCUGGGCGAAAACGCGUGCGACGACCCUGUGUGGGGUGUGCGAUCGGCGAGAAGGGCUCGACACAGGUAUCUGUGUGGAUGCUGGCGAGUGCGCGUUGGCCCGCAUGAGGCGGCGACGUCAUAUCCUCAAACCAUUUUUGGAGACAAGCCGUAAAGAGGUGGAGGUCACUCGAGGCAGGAAGAAGAGGGUGGGUCUCGGGGGAUCGCUCGAUCCCGCUGCUCAGCUCUCGUCUGCCGCUCCUUCGGGCCAUUGUGUGUUGGGCGAAUGGCGCGCAUGCGUCUGCGUCCUUCGGCCGUGAGCCGGCGUUGCAUUUUGGGUGCUUCACAGUUCACUUCACUCGUCUCUUUUCGUGAUAGUAUACGAGACGAGACGGCGGAGAAGUGCGUCACGGAUUUGUGCGUGCGCGUGUAGGCGAUGUGCCUUGUCUGCCUGUUGUGUGUGUGUGUGUGUGUGUGUGUGUGUGUUUGUGCUUGUGUGCGAGUGGUGGUACGGCGCCGGAGGUGUCGGGUGGGGAGGAGUCUGUGCUGGAGACAAGAUCCCACGUCGGCAGUCAGACGUACGUCGGGUCGUUAUCCGUUCAUGUUCAACCGCAAGUCCUCCGCUCCCCUCCCAAUCCUCUCACUGCUCUCCGUCUCUGUGCUCAUCUUGCGGUCUGCAGCUCACGCACGCAUUCACGCCGUCGUGCGUGCGAGCACAACGGCCACAGAGGCAGAGAGGGGCCUGUGGCCUCCCUUCUUCUAUCUCGUGGUCCUCUGCCUCGGUGUCUCCCUCUGCGACUGUUCAUACGUGCUUGCCGCUUCCGCUUGCAGUGAGGCAACGCCCGACACGG
rnacentral:misc_RNA from 1 species